UCAAAAUUAGGGUUUAAAAGUCAAAUGGAUCAGGCGAGGCACGGCUGUAAUCCCAGCACUUCGGGAGGCCGAGGCAGGUGGAUCAGGAGGUCAGGAGUUUGAGACCAACCUGGCCAACAGGGUGAAACCCUGUCUCUACUAAAAACACAAAAAUUAGCUGGGCAUGGAGGCUCACACCUGCAAUCCCGGUUACCCAGGAGACUGAGGCAGGAGAAUUGCUUGAACCCGGGAGGUGGAGGUUUCAGUGAGCCAAGAUCGCACCACAGCAUUCCAGCCUGGGUGACAGAGUGAGACUCCAUCUCAAAAAAAAAAAAAGGGUGAAAUGGAUCAUAGAGGCCACCUUGUCUAAACUUCCACCUAGAGAAGAAUAUGAAUAAAAGCCCACUGAGCUAAAUUCAUUUCUUUGACAUUAUUCCAGGCACAUCUCUUACACUGUGAAUGCUGUUAAGCUGUAGGAGAGAAAAGUGCUGUAAAGGAAUAAGGAAAUCCCUGCACUUUACCAGCCCUGGAUUCUGGGACUUCACAGAUACAGCCCGGGUGCAGAAGAAGCUACCCACUCCCUGACCAAGUUGGAUAAUGAAUAAUUAAACAACCACUAUGGAAAAGGCAUGAAAUUAGCUAAGGUGUUGCUAAGGCAAGAGGGCCAUCUUUGGCCAGGCAGUCAUGAGGUUCCUGGUUCUAGGCCACUGGGACAUGGGAUGCCCACUUGCCCACAGGCACUUCUGUAAACAAGGCUCCACUUGGCUUGUGGGCCAAAUAGCCUGUGCCUUGUGAUCCGUGGGCCUCCAGGCGCCCAGGGUCUGCACACAUUUACAGUGCUGCCAUGCUCCAGCCAAGUGGACAAGUAAUUGGUGACAAGGCCCUGAAUGUCAGGAAUUAAACUGAGAAAACUCCCUGAAACUGAUUUGAGUUCAUUGCAGCUUAACUCUCAAGCUCCAGCAGGUCCUAAGAGGAUCCUUCUCCAUCAGUUCAGGGGCGAGAGGCUCUGAGACAAGUGGUAUACAACUGACCUGAGAGGGCCCAGCCUGGCUUCCACUUCCCAGGGACUGGAGGGCUCCUACAUAAAUGGCUCAAUCCCUGCUGCCUGCUUUGGAGAUGGUUUGCGACUGUUUCCCACUCCUAGGAACACU
rnacentral:lncRNA from 1 species